rnacentral:rRNA from 1 species
AUUGAACGCUGGCGGCAGGCAUAACACAUGCAAGUCGAACGAGGGGCGGACGGGUGAGUAAUGUCUGGGAAACUGCCUGAUGGAGGGGGAUAACUACUGGAAACGGUAGCUAAUACCGCAUACCAUCAACUGGGCCAAGAUGGGAUUAGCUUGUUGGUGGGGUAACGGCUCACCAAGUCGACGAUCCAUAGCGGGUUUGAGAGGGUGACCAGCCACACUGGAACUGAGACACGGUCCAGACUCCUACGGGAGGCAGCAGUGGGGAAUAUUGCACAAUGGGCGCAAGCCUGACGGAGCCAUGCCGCGUGUAUGAAGAAGGCCUUCGGAUUGUAAAGUUCUUUCAUCGGGGAAGCGUUACCCGCAGAAGAAGCACCGGCUAACUCCGUGCCAGCAGCCGCGGUAAUAC